rnacentral:RNase_P_RNA from 1 species
UCCGCUCCUUGAUGACCGCCCGCGACCCUGCGUCGUGGGAGGAACGUCCGGGCACCAAUGGAACGCCUAGUGGCUAACGGCCACCCGCUUGUGCGCAAUCAUGAGCGCGGACCAGUGCCACAGAGACGAGGCCCGCAAGGGUCAUGUGAAACGUCCCUCUCAGAGGGUUGGCCCGGGGCGAUCCCGGGUAUCACGGCAAACUCUAGGUGGUGCAAGGAGGACAUGGGUGCGUGGAAUCAGUCUUGGUUCCGAGACUCCACACUCCCCUCCGCUUGAGUCCUCUCGCAAGAUUGGACCGAGACAGAUGGUCAUCCCCCUCACGGGGACAGAACCCGGCGUACGGGGGCGGAUCCA